rnacentral:rRNA from 1 species
CCGGCCGGGGGACAACACUCCGAAAGGGGUGCUAAUACCGGAUACGAAGUCUGUAGCCGCAUGGGUACGGAUUUGAAAGAUGGCCUCUAUUUAUAAGCUAUCGCCGGGGGAUGGGCCUGCGUCCGAUUAGCGUGGUUGGUGGGGUAACGGCCUACCAAAGGCGACGAUCGGUAGCCGGUCUGAGAGGAUGAACGGCCACAUUGGGACUGAGACACGGCCCAGACUCCUACGGGAGGCAGCAGUGGGGAAUCUUCCGCAAUGGGCGCAAGCCUGACGGAGCAACGCCGCGUGAAGUGAGGAAGUUCUUCGGAACGUAAAGCUCUGUUGUUCUUGACGAACCUCCCUUCUAUCAACAACGGAAGGGACUGACGGUAGGGAACGAGGAAGCCACGGCUAACUACGUGCCAGCCGCAGC